rnacentral:lncRNA from 10 species
UAGCCACCCCAGGGAGCACCAGGUGACCAGGCGAGGUGCCUGCCAGGCGCAUUGUGUUCAUUGCUUUUUUUUUUUUUUUUUUUUUUUGAGACAGAGUCUUGCUCUUUCGCCCAGGCCGGAGUGUAGUGGCGCUAUCUCGGCUCACUGCAAGCUCCGCCUCCCGGGUUCACGCCAUUCUCCUGCCUCCGGCUUCCAAGUAGCUGGGAAUACAGGCGCCCGCCACCACGCCCGGCUAAUAUUUUUGUAUUUUUAGUAUAGACAGGGUUUCACCGUGUUAGCCAGGAUGGUCUUGAUCUCCUGACCUCGUGAUCCGCCCGCCUCGGCCUCCGAAAGCGCUGGGAUUACAGGCGUGAGCCACCGCGCCCGGCCAUUGCUUUCUUGCAGCAACUGGGGAUUGUUGAUUCGGGACCCCUAGUCGGAGGGUGAUUUACACGUCAGUUGCAGCGCGUUGGUCAAUGUUCCAGGCUGUCAGCUCGGCACCGCCCUCAGGGCUCAAGCUACACAGGGCAUUGAAAGGAAUUCUGUCAUUACAGCCCCAGGAAAAUGGAAGAAGAGGAAAAUGAAAAAAGACAAAAGGGAUAUGAUGCUGGGCAAAAUCCCACCAAAAUCAGACGUAGGAAGGAAUCCAGCCCUUUUGCCCAGUAGAAUUAUGGGGGAAAAGGAGAAGCAAAUGGCGAGACACUUGAAUUCCAAGCUCUCCUCUUGAAGUGGAAGCCGUAGAGAAAGGAGGCAUGUUAGGUUGAAGAAAGAUGGUGAGGUUCCCAGAGACUAGCCACUUCAGGAAGCUCUUCUUACCCUUCGGGAUAAAGGGAGCAGAGAAGGAAAAAGCAGAGUCCAUGGAAUCAUGGGGACACACAGCAAUGCCAGAGACUUCUUGCCAAAGCAAGGAGCGAGCAGGGAAGAAAAGCUCCCACCUCUCACCUUCCAAACCUCAGGCUCCUGCUGGUGUCUCCCAUUAACCAAAACCACAGACACCAACCAGCAAGAAAGCCAGGGACCUAGAGUCAGUAGGGGUAAAUAGAGCCUUUCAGGACACGGAGAAGGGCAGGCAAAGGCACAGAUGGGUGUAGCCAGGGGCAGCAAGGGGAGAAUAACCAGGCACCUCCUUCCAUUCCAGCAUGAGGGCCUGGAAGCCCCUCUUUCUUGCACAUGCACAUGCCAUGCUGGGGAGCGGCAAUGGGAGUUCCGAAAUACUGAACAUUUAUCUAGAGACUGAGUCACUUAAAGCAACUGCUGAAAUUAUUGAAACAGACUGUUUUCUAAUCUAGACUAAAAUAUACUAUAUUUUUCUCUCUAUCCAUCAGUCCAUUGUAAUGAAAAUUUAAUCAAUUACUUAAAGCAAUAAAAGAAACUACAUUUUUAUUGUACAACUUACUGAAGUGUGAGGAAAUGGGUGGAUCCUUCCCACUUUGUAUCCUCUCUACCGUUCUCUACUUCCAAGGUAACUGAGGUGACUUAACAAUGAAACAAGUCAGAAAUGUCCUGAUAGAGACCAAAGGAAGACAAUAUUUCAGACUCCUCUGGAUUGUUCUGGAAGAGAAAAUGCAGAAACAGCAGGGAGCAGAAGAUAAACAGGCAAUCCGUGACUCAUUAAAACAAGCAUUGGUCGCCAACAUUGUGGAGUGUGUGAAGACCCCAGAUCCAACUCGCCUAUAAACUUUUUUUUACCAGCUGGACUUAGCAUCUGCCAGAGUUUGGAAAGAGAGAUAAUCUGGUACAAAUGAUUUCAGUGUGUCGCAUUUAUUAACCUGCCACCUUACAUAACUCUGCUGAUUGGGAACUCAGGGAAAUGUUUGAGCAAUGACACAGCUUAUUGUUGGAAUGUUACAACUUUACUAAUAAAGAUGCAAGUUACUGUUUAAAAAAAAAUACAAAGACCACAGAGCAAUUGGAAAAUAAAAAUGAAGCAAAGCUAAAAAGCAUCAUGGUCUUGAGAAAUGUACGUGCCAGAAAAAUAAUUGAAAUUCAGUUUGAAUUUUGAUCAUUUUCAGUGCUUUACAUCAAUUAGGCAGGAAAAGUAUUUUAUUUUUAAAUAGUUGUCACAUUAGUUUGUCUUAACAGCUUUGAUGUAAAUAAAUGCCAAACUGGGAGCAUUAUCAUGUCCUUUCCAAACUACUUACUGUUCUAAAUGAAUGAUUCGCUUCUGUUGUUAAAUCUCUGACAAUUGCUAGAAGGGCAUUUUCACAGUAGAACUGAAGGAAAAGUAAAAUAGUGCCCAUUUUUGUUUAUAUACAAAACCGUGUCCAUUUUUGUCUUAAACAGCCUGCCUGGCUUCACAGUUUAUUAAAGACAAAGAACAUUACCCCAGGAAUAAAAUCAGUACCGAUAACCUGCAUACUUUUCAUUCUUGGGCUUUGAUUUACUUCCUUUUUUGCCUCAAAGUUUGCUUGGGAUCAUUUGGUCAAGAGGUGGAAACACCAAAGAGCAAUUUUCUUUUUUCUAUUUCUUAUCCAGAUCUCAUGCCAGUAAUUUCAAAUUAAUGAGGAUGUUUACUCUCUGGUACAAAAUUUGCACAUACUAGCUUAUAAAAUAUGGAUAAGCUGGUUUCCUAUAACAAAAUAUAGCCCUACCAUUUCAAAAAUGAAAACUGCAGAGACUUUGGAAAAAAAUCAGCUGAAGGAAUUCUUCACGUUUCACAAUGGUUAGCCUAUUAUUUGUAGUUUUGAAACUUUAUUGGUCCCCAAUCUAAUCUUUUCUGAGUAUAAAAACAUUAACAUAUGGUUUAACACAGCACAGGGCUGGAAAGUCCAUAUCCCAAAUGCAUAUUGUAUGCAGGGUGACAUUCACACUAAAUACCAUCCCUCAGGGUCUGUACUCCAUUUUACCUGGGAUUGGAGAGCCAUGAAAUCCCUGGAAAAGUUGUUCAUGAGUCUGAACCAAAUGGUGUGCAGUGUACUGAGAUACUAACAGUCUAUGCUUCUGCCAAAGGUUGCGGCUCAAAUGUCUCUCUAAGUAACAUUAAAAAUCUGCUGCUUCAUGCCUAUGAAUUUCAAUAUUUAUAGCAUUCAAUAAAACGGUCCACUGUCAGAGAGAGAUGUGCCACUGUGCACUCUCUGAGCAGAUGGGCGGCAAUAUGGCACAUUUACAUGGACCAGCUGUGGAGCGCAGAAAUGGAUGCUGGUCAGGGGCAAGGUGCAGGCCCCACAUCUGGAAUUCUAACCGACUGGCCUCGGUACCCAUUGUAAACUUUCCUUCCACAGGGUGAGCUCUGAUUUAGAGCUGCUCACUAGUGUGCCUUAAACUGCAUCAAGAGUCCUCAUUAACGCAAGAGACUAGAGGGAGGUUAGGGCCUGGAAUCCCUCUGUCGGGCAUCUGUUAGAGUCUGUGGAUGGCACUCUGUAGUCGUUAUAGAUGCACCCAGGGGAAGAUUCUCUCAGGCAUGAUGCAGUGUUCUCUAUUUAACUGAUUUUAUACCCCCAAAAAAGAGGUUUUUAUUAUAAACAGAGCUACUUUUUCCAUAUCCCCUUUUCUAAAUGGAUCAGAAUAUACCUCAGAGAAAGGACAAUUUCUAGAAUAUUUAAAAAUUUCGUAGAAAUGUCGAAUUCUUUUUUCAAGUCUCAAAUGGAACGUUGUCUUAUUUUGGGUAGAAUCAGAAUGGUUCAAAUGCAGUUAGAAGUUUCUAAAAUAUAUGAAAUUCUUAGACUAGCUGUUUUCAUUGUAGUAUCACUAUUCAGACAAUCAAAACAGCUUAGUUGUGUGUCAUUUAAAUAAUUCAACUGACUUGAUAGAAAGGUAAGCUGCUUUUGACAUUUUAAAUAUGAACAAGAAAUGGUUUGUUACAUUCAAAUACUCAUCAGAAAUAACAUUCCUGUUUCAUUUUCAAUAAAUACUUUUAAGAGAAAGUUCUACUCAUUCUUUCAUUUUGUAAAAUAAUCUUUCCCACAUUUUCCAAUUAUUGACUAAGAUGUAUUUGGUCUUCAGUGGUCCCAUCUCUUGAAUAGUUGUUUAUAUCCUUACGUUACUGAGUAUUCAUUUUCUAUGACAAUCUCUCAAGAUCUAUUCCAGUCUCCUUUCACCCCCAAGAGAAACGCAGGUAUUUUAAGCAAGUGAGACAAUACAACUCGUUAUCAAAUGGGUUAUGGUAACUCAAUCAUGUAAUGUAUGGAUAUUUUAGGGUCUCAUCAUUCAACACUCAACUUUAAAACUACUCUGAAAUCUAAACAUAGAUAUGUAUUUAUGCUAUUUGGCCUCAAUCUUCAAAAAGGAAAAUUUUGGCCAGGCGCGUUGGCUCACGCCUGUAAUUCCAGCACUUUGAGAGGCCGAGGGGGGCAGAUCACCUGAGGUCAGGAGUUCGAGACCAGCCUGGCCAACACGGAGAAACCCCAUCUCUACCAAAAGUACAAAACUAGCCAGGCGUGGUGGCACGUGCCUGUAAUUCCAGCCACGCAGGAGGCUGAGGCAGGAGAAUAGCUUGAA